AAUUCGACAUCUGAAUGAAUUGGUUCUUCACCUUAUAUGCAAGUCACUGAGAAAAUCCGACAACCUAAUAUUUUUAGCUAUAACAGUGAGACCAUCUUCAUUCCCAAUAUGACGCAGAGCUAUCUCUUCCAACCGGCCAUCCCGAUGAGCAUGCUUGUAAAAACAACUGGAUCCAAAAGGGCAGUUCCCAUUUCCAAAGUUAAAGUGCUUGCAAUCUAUUGAUCGCAGCCUUGACUUGUAGCUAUCAACAAUCUCUUGCUUUUCUUCCUUCGAAGAAUACCAAAUGACACUUGGAAUCACAAAGUAUGACAACUUCCUACAAAUUGG
rnacentral:misc_RNA from 1 species